rnacentral:rRNA from 1 species
UACGUAGGUGGCGAGCGUUGUCCGGAUUUACUGGGCGUAAAGGGCGUGCAGGCGGUUUGUUAAGUCUAGGGUGAAAGCUCCCGGCUCAACUGGGAGAGGUCCUUGGAUACUGGCAGACUUGAGGAGAGUAGAGGAGAGUGGAAUUCCCGGUGUAGUGGUGAUAUGCGUAGAUAUCGGGAGGAACACCAGUGGCGAAGGCGGCUCUCUGGGCUCUACCUGACGCUGAGACGCGAAAGCGUGGGGAGCGAACCGG